GGCUCUCUGCUAAGAAAAAAUAGAGAGUCGAACCUGCCCAGUGAAGAUUUUUAACGGCCGCGGUACUCUGACCGUGCAAAGGUAGCAUAAUCAUUUGCCUUAUAAUUGAAGGCUUGUAUGAAUGGUUUGACGAGAGCAAUACUGUCUCCUUUCUAAUUAAUAGAAUUUAACUUUUAGGUGAAGAGGCCUGAAUAAAAUUGAAGGACAAGAAGACCCUGUCGAGCUUAAAAGAAAAGUAGAAAAUAAACUAUAAUUAUCUUAAAUGUGUUACUACUAGAGCUUUUUGGUUGGGGCGACUAAGGAACAGAAAAAGCUUCUUUAAAUAAACAUACUUGUUAGUGAUGAUCCAGUAAAUCUGAUUAAAAGAAUUAGUUACCGCAGGGAUAACAGCAUAAUCUCUCUUAAGAGACCAAAUCGAAAGAGGGGGUUGUGACCUCGAUGUUGGACUAGAAUAUCCUAAAGAUGCAGAAGUCUUUAAGGGUUGGUCUGUUCGACCAUUAAAAUUCU
rnacentral:rRNA from 1 species